rnacentral:rRNA from 1 species
UACAGAGGUCCCAAGCGUUGUUCGGAUUCACUGGGCGUAAAGGGUGCGUAUGCGGUCGGGUAAGUCUGAUGUGAAAUCUCCAAGCCUAACUUGGAAACUGCAUUGGAUACUAUCCGGCUCGAGGAAUGGAGGGGAGACUGGAAUACUUGGUGUAGCAGUGAAAUGCGUAGAUAUUAAGUGGAACACCAGUGGCGAAGGCGAGUCUCUGGACAUUUCCUGACGCUGAGGCACGAAAGCCAGGGGAGCAAACGGG